CAGGGGGACAACCCGCUGAUAGGCGGGCUAAACCCGCGUACAUGCCACCGGGGCAUCCCGGAGGCAGGAAAGGCUUCGGCCGGACAGGGAUGGGCAUGCGGCGCAUUAGGCAGUAGGCGGGGUAACGGCCCACCUAACCGACGACGCGUAGGGGUUCUGAGAGGAAGGUCCCCCACACUGGUACUGAGACACGGACCAGACUCCUACGGGAGGCAGCAGUGAGGAAUAUUGGUCAAUGGUCGGGAGACUGAACCAGCCAAGCCGCGUGAGGGAUGAAGGUACAGAGUAUCGUAAACCUCUUUUGUCAGGGAACAAAGGCGGGGGCGUGUCCCCGGAUGAGUGUACCUGAAGAAAAAGCAUCGGCUAACUCCGUGCCAGCAGCCGCGGUAAUACGGAGGAUGCGAGCGUUAUCCGGAUUUAUUGGGUUUAAAGGGUGCGCAGGCGGUCUGUUAAGUCAGCGGUCAAAGCCCGGGGCUCAACCCCGGCCCGCCGUUGAAACUGGCAGUCUCGAGUUGGAGAGAAGUAUGCGGAAUGCGCGGUGUAGCGGUGAAAUGCAUAGAUAUCGCGCAGAACUCCGAUUGCGAAGGCAGCAUGCCGGCUCCACACUGACGCUGAGGCACGAAAGCGUGGGUAUCGAACAGGAUUAGAUACCCUGGUAGUCCACGCAGUAAACGAUGAAUGAUGGCUGUCCAGGGGGGAUUGACCCCUGGGGGCGAAG
rnacentral:rRNA from 1 species